GGGUAAGUUUGUAAUUCAAUAUCCCAUUGCACUACAAUUUAAUUUCCAGUAUGGGUAUUUUGGUAAGGUUAAAUAUUAUCUUCCAAAGAUGCAAUCUCAACCGUUUAUUCAUCCGCAAUCACAUUCGACAACCUUUCGUAUUUUCAAUCGCUCCGUUACUUUACUGGAAACUGAAAGGGAAAAGAGAGAGGCACUUGGAGGAGAAAUUAAAUGUGGAGCCUUGCCCUCCUUAGAAAUAAUCGUUAAAAAUCAGAAUCUGAGUCAAUUGUUAAGGGUUUUGGCUGUUGUCGAUCCCCUGUGCGCCGUUCUCCAUUUUGCAAGAAGCUGCUUUGAGAAGGAAGAACAACAUACCCCCUAUUAAGAAGAAGUGAAAGGAAGGCAUAAAGUCCUCUCGACCAUUUCUUCUUCUCUGCAACGUUACACUAAACUUUCACCUUUCAUCGGGCUAUGUUCUUCUCAGAUGUCAUCUUCUACUCCGACGACGUGUUCCUCAUUGUCCUCUUCCGCUCCGGCCUUUUAUGUGGAGAGGUUAAUUUUCUUUGAACAAAAAAAGAUACCAGCUCAAACAUCUUUGUUCAUCUCUUACAAGUUGGUGAGUUCAA